GCCACGUGACUCGUGUUCCUGUCAAAUGCUGGCUGGGCUGGGCGGAGAGAAAGCGGAGCGGAGUUGUGUAAGAGCAGUAAAAUUAGCCCUCGGGAGGAGCGGAACGGACCGGUCGGCGGGCGUCGUUCGCUGCGCGUCAAGGGACCGGCUUGCACCGGGCAGAGGAAGGAGAGCGUGGAGUGCGGCGGGGCCGCCGCCGCGGUGGUGGUGGUGCCCUUCCUUUCUUUCGGGACGGGGCGGUGCAGGAGCUGCAACAAGACAAACGCAUCUUUAUGAAGGAAGAAGAUAAAAGAAGUUGAUGAUGGCAGGAAAUUAUGUACAGAAGCUCCACUCCCUAGAGUUCCUCUGCUAGUGACCCUCAACCAAAAACAUAUAGAGGAAGGGACCAGAACAUGGAUGAGAGAAAUGGAAGGGACUUCAGGAUCCAGACUCAAAAAGAUAACCAAUAGACAAUGGUUAUCCCACCCACCCCAUAUAUACAGCCAUGGUUAUUUUUGAUAUAAACUUCUAUUACACACUUUGGGUAAAUUGUAUUAGAACUGAUAGAAGAAACAACUAUUACAGUGUUCUGCAUUUUUAAAAAUAUCAGACAUCAGAGUUUGUCAUUAAAUAAAUGUUGUGGAACACACAACCAGCAGUUUUGAGCCAAACAGGGUAUAUAUUUAGCUGCAAAUAUGUCCACCCACACAUUAUUAUAAAGUGGCUUUUUUAAAACAAAAACAAAAGUUGAAAAGCAAGUUUUGAAAAUUGGGUGAAAGCCAUUUUGUGUUCAGACUUUAAAAUUGUUGCAUUGUCAACAAUGUUGCACCAUCAUCCACAGAUAACAGCUGCGUUUGAGUGUUAGUGAGUUAAGGCUCCUAUGGACAAUGUUGGAAGAGGCUUAUAGACAUCUUUUAAGGCAUAUUGAAUCCAGCCAAAAAUAUAAAGGAAGAUCUGAAAUGAGGUAAAUGUAUAUUAUGUAAAAGCACACCUGGUCUUAGUUUAUAGAAAAAACAAGUACAAUUGUUUUCCCACUCAUCCAAUAAAAAGUAUGAUUUUCCAGAAAGGAAACAA